rnacentral:rRNA from 1 species
CAGUCGACGCACAGCGAAAGGUGCUUGCACCUUUCAAGUGAGUGGCGAACGGGUGAGUAACACGUGGACAACCUGCCUCAAGGCUGGGGAUAACAUUUGGAAACAGAUGCUAAUACCGAAUAAAACUUAGUGUCGCAUGACACAAAGUUAAAAGGCGCUUCGGCGUCACCUAGAGAUGGAUCCGCGGUGCAUUAGUUAGUUGGUGGGGUAAAGGCCUACCAAGACAAUGAUGCAUAGCCGAGUUGAGAGACUGAUCGGCCACAUUGGGACUGAGACACGGCCCAAACUCCUACGGGAGGCUGCAGUAGGGAAUCUUCCACAAUGGGCGAAAGCCUGAUGGAGCAACGCCGCGUGUGUGAUGAAGGCUUUCGGGUCGUAAAGCACUGUUGUAUGGGAAGAACAGCUAGAAUAGGAAAUGAUUUUAGUUUGACGGUACCAUACCAGAAAGGGACGGCUAAAUACGUGCCAGCAGCCGCGGUAAUACGUAUGUCCCGAGCGUUAUCCGGAUUUAUUGGGCGUAAAGCGAGCGCAGACGGUUUAUUAAGUCUGAUGUGAAAGCCCGGAGCUCAACUCCGGAAUGGCAUUGGAAACUGGUUAACUUGAGUGCAGUAGAGGUAAGUGGAACUCCAUGUGUAGCGGUGGAAUGCGUAGAUAUAUGGAAGAACACCAGUGGCGAAGGCGGCUUACUGGACUGCAACUGACGUUGAGGCUCGAAAGUGUGGGUAGCAAACAGGAUUAGAUACCCUGGUAGUCCACACCGUAAACGAUGAACACUAGGUGUUAGGAGGUUUCCGCCUCUUAGUGCCGAAGCUAACGCAUUAAGUGUUCCGCCUGGGGAGUACGACCGCAAGGUUGAAACUCAAAGGAAUUGACGGGGACCC